CCAGCUCCAAUAGCGUAUAUUAAAGUUGUUGUGGUUAAAAAGCUCGUAGUUGGAUCUCGGCGGACAGAAGUCGGUCCGAUUGCUUUCGGUACUGGCUUGUUUGUCCGUGUGUUUUGCCAGAGGCAGGCGGGUGCUCUUCGCCGAGUGUCCGUUUGUGCUGGCAGGUUUACUUUGAAAAAAUUAGAGUGCUUAAAGCAAGCUCCCACGCUUGAAUAUUCGUGCAUGGAAUAAUAGAAUAGGAUGUCGUUCCUAUUUUGUUGGUUUUCGGGAAUCGACAUAAUGAUUAAUAGGGACAGUCGGGGGCAUUUGUAUUCAAACGACAGAGGUGAAAUUCUUGGACCGUUUGAAGACAAACUACUGCGAAAGCAUUUGCCAAGAAUGUUUUCAUUAAUCAAGAACGAAAGUUAGAGGUUCGAAGGCGAUUAGAUACCGCCCUAGUUCUAACCAUAAACGAUGCCAGCUAGCGAUCUGCAGGCGUUUUACUUUACGACCUUGCAGGGAGCUUCCGGGAAACCAAAGCUUGUGGGUUCCAGGGGAAGUAUGGUUGCAAAGCUGAAACUUAAAGGAAUUGACGGAAGGGCACCACCAGGAGUGGAGCCUGCGGCUUAAUUCGACUCAACC
rnacentral:rRNA from 1 species